UACGUAGGGCGCAAGCGUUGUCCGGAAUUAUUGGGCGUAAAGAGCUCGUAGGCGGUUCGGUAUGUCGGAUGUGAAAGCCCUUGGCUUAACCGAGGAAGUGCAUCCGAAACUGGCGAGCUAGAGUACGAAAGAGGAUCGCGGAAUUCCCGGUGUAGAGGUGAAAUUCGUAGAUAUCGGGAGGAACACCGGUGGCGAAGGCGGCGAUCUGGGUCGAUACUGACGCUGAGGUGCGAAAGCGUGGGGAUCAAACAGG
rnacentral:rRNA from 1 species